rnacentral:rRNA from 1 species
GACGGACGCUGGCGGCGUGCCUAAUACAUGCAAGUCGAGCGAAGUUUUUCUGGUGCUUGCACCGGAAAAACUUAGCGGCGAACGGGUGAGUAACACGUAAAGAACCUGCCUCAUAGACUGGGACAACUAUUGGAAACGAUAGCUAAUACCGGAUAACAGCAUUAACUGCAUGGUUGAUGUUUAAAAGUUGGUUUUGCUAGCACUAUGAGAUGGCUUUGCGGUGCAUUAGCUAGUUGGUGGGGUAAAGGCCUACCAAGGCGACGAUGCAUAGCCGACCUGAGAGGGUGAUCGGCCACACUGGGACUGAGACACGGCCCAGACUCCUACGGGAGGCAGCAGUAGGGAAUCUUCCGCAAUGGGCGAAAGCCUGACGGAGCAACGCCGCGUGAGUGAAGAAGGAUUUCGGUUCGUAAAGCUCUGUUGUUAGGGAAGAAUGAUUGUGUAGUAACUAUACACAGUAGAGACGGUACCUAACCAGAAAGCCACGGCUAACUACGUG